rnacentral:tRNA from 1 species
GCUUAGUUAGUUUCAUUUAAAAUAUGGUUUUUGUAAUACCAAGAUACUUACUAAGGU